rnacentral:misc_RNA from 1 species
CAUUUAGAGGAAGGAGAAGUCGUAACAAGGUUUCCGUAGGUGAACCUGCGGAAGGAUCAUUGUCAAAACCUGCAUAGCAGAACCACCCGCGAACGUGUUAUCACAAAAAACUGUUGGCCACGGAGACGCGGGCGCACCCGCCACUGGCGGACGUCCGUGCCUUCCGGGGCCCGACAUCGAACCACCCGGCGCAAGCCGCGCCAAGGAAACUGUAAUCGAGAGCGUGCGCUCCCCUCGUCUCGGAAACGGGUCUCCCGGGGRGCGACUUGUCUCAUGAUCAUACGAAAAAAUGACUCUCGGCAACGGAUAUCUCGGCUCUCGCAUCGAUGAAGAACGUAGCGAAAUGCGAUACUUGGUGUGAAUUGCAGAAUCCCGUGAACCAUCGAGUCUUUGAACGCAAGUUGCGCCCUAAGCCAUUAGGCCGAGGGCACGUCUGCCUGGGUGUCACACAACGUCGCUCCAAGACCCCUCGCCUCUUCGAAGGUCGAUGGGGUCGGGCGGAAAAUGGCCUCCCGUGCGCUCGCGCUCGCGGUUGGCCCAAAAGCGAGCGCCACGGCGUCGAGCGCCACGACCAGCGGUGGUUGGCAUGUACCAAUGACCCUCUAACCCUGUCGCGCGCGCUUGUCCCUGACACGGUGCUCCUGGACCCUAACGCGUCGCCUCGCGACGCUCGCAAUGCGACCCCAGGUCAGGCGGGGCUACCCGCUGAGUUUAAGCAUAUCAAU